rnacentral:rRNA from 1 species
GACGAACGCUGGCGGCGUGCCUAAUACAUGCAAGUUGAGCGCUGAAGGUUGGUACUUGUACCGACUGGAUGAGCAGCGAACGGGUGAGUAACGCGUGGGGAAUCUGCCUUUGAGCGGGGGACAACAUUUGGAAACGAAUGCUAAUACCGCAUAAAAACUUUAAACACAAGUUUUAAGUUUGAAAGAUGCAAUUGCAUCACUCAAAGAUGAUCCCGCGUUGUAUUAGCUAGUUGGUGAGGUAAAGGCUCACCAAGGCGAUGAUACAUAGCCGACCUGAAAGGGUGGUCGGCCACAUUGGGAAUGAGACACGGCCCAAACUCCUACGGGAAGCAGCAGUAGGGAAUCUUCGGCAAUGGACGAAAGUCUGACCGAGCAACGCCGCGUGAGUGAAGAAGGUUUUCGGAUCGUAAAACUCUGUUGGUAGAGAAGAACGUUGGUGAGAGUGGAAAGCUCAUCAAGUGACGGUAACUACCCAGAAAGGGACGGCUAACUACGUG